rnacentral:rRNA from 1 species
AUGCUUGAUACUUCUUGUGUUGGUUCUUUUGUGAAGAAGACUAUUGAAUUCCGGUGGGAUCUCUUGGAAAGAAUUAAACGCAACUCUGAAGAGUGGGAAUUCGACAAAGGUAAAGAGUCAGGUAUUAAACUUAAGUAUGAUUGUGUUAAAUCUUCUAUGGAUACCGAUGCUUUUCAAAAUUUUAGCACUAAAUAUGGACUUGACUCUGAGAUAGUAGCCUCCUUUUGUGAAUCAUUUGCUACUCAUGUUAAACUCCCUAAAGAGAAGUGGUUUAAAUAUCACCCACCUAUUAAAGAAGAAAUUAAAGAACCGGUACUAGUUAAAGAAGAAACUAUACUU